rnacentral:rRNA from 1 species
UACGUAGGGGGCAAGCGUUACUCGGAUUUAUUGGGCGUAAAGCGAAUGUAGGCGGUUUCAUAAGUCAGAGGUGAAAUCCCUCAGCUCAACUGAGGAAUAGCCUUUGAUACUACGGAACUUGAGGACAGGAGAGGAAAGUGGAAUUCCCGGUGUAGCGGUGGAAUGCGUAGAUAUCGGGAGGAACACCAGAGGCGAAGGCGGCUUUCUGGACUGAUCCUGACGCUGAGAUUCGAAAGCCAGGGGAGCAAACAGG